UAGUCCGGAUUGGAGUCUGCAACUCGACUCCAUGAAGUCGGAAUCGCUAGUAAUCGUGGAUCAGAAUGCCACGGUGAAUACGUUCCCGGGCCUUGUACACACCGCCCGUCACACCAUGGGAGUGGGUUGCAAAAGAAGUAGGUAGCUUAACCUUCGGGAGGGCGCUUACCACUUUGUGAUUCAUGACUGGGGUGAAGUCGUAACAAGGUAACCGUAGGGGAACCUGCGGUUGGAUCACCUCCUUACCUUAAAGAAGC
rnacentral:rRNA from 2 species